rnacentral:rRNA from 1 species
GAUGAACGCUGGCGGCGUGCCUAAUACAUGCAAGUAGAACGCUGAAGGAGGAGCUUGCUCUUCUGGAUGAGUUGCGAACGGGUGAGUAACGCGUAGGUAACCUGCCUGGUAGCGGGGGAUAACUAUUGGAAUCGAUAGCUAAUACCGCAUGACAACAGUUAUUGCAUGAUAACUGUUUAAAAGGGGCAACUGCUCCACUACCAGAUGGACCUGCGUUGUAUUAGCUAGUUGGUGAGGUAACGGCUCACCAAGGCGACGAUACAUAGCCGACCUGAGAGGGUGAUCGGCCACACUGGGACUGAGACACGGCCCAGACUCCUACGGGAGGCAGCAGUAGGGAAUCUUCGGCAAUGGACGGAAGUCUGACCGAGCAACGCCGCGUGAGUGAAGAAGGUUUUCGGAUCGUAAAGCUCUGUUGUAAGAGAAGAACGAGUGUGAGAGUGGAAAGUUCACACUGUGACGGUAUCUUACCAGAAAGGGACGGCUAACUACGUG